CUCGUGUCGUGAGAUGUUGGGUUAAGUCCCGCAACGAGCGCAACCCUUGUCCUAUGUUGCCAGCGGGUAAUGCCGGGGACUCGUAGGAGACUGCCGGGGUCAACUCGGAGGAAGGUGGGGACGACGUCAAGUCAUCAUGCCCCUUAUGCCCAGGGCUGCAAACAUGCUACAAUGGCCGGUACAGAGGGCUGCUAUACCGCGAGGUUGAGCGAAUCCCACAAAGCCGGUCUCAGUUCGGAUUGGAGUCUGCAACUCGACUCCAUGAAGGCGGAGUCGCUAGUAAUCCCGGAUCAGCAACGCCGGGGUGAAUACGUUCCCGGGCCUUGUACACACCGCCCGUCACACCACGAAAGUUGGCAACACCCGAAGUCAGUGGCCCAACUCUUGAGA
rnacentral:rRNA from 1 species